rnacentral:rRNA from 1 species
AGUGAACGCUGGCGGUAGGCCUAACACAUGCAAGUCGAACGGCAGCACAGUAAGAGCUUGCUCUUACGGGUGGCGAGUGGCGGACGGGUGAGGAAUACAUCGGAAUCUACUUUUUCGUGGGGGAUAACGUAGGGAAACUUACGCUAAUACCGCAUACGACCUACGGGUGAAAGCAGGGGAUCUUCGGACCUUGCGCGAUUGAAUGAGCCGAUGUCGGAUUAGCUAGUUGGCGGGGUAAAGGCCCACCAAGGCGACGAUCCGUAGCUGGUCUGAGAGGAUGGUCAGCCACACUGGAACUGAGACACGGUCCAGACUCCUACGGGAGGCAGCAGUGGGGAAUAUUGGACAAUGGGCGCAAGCCUGAUCCAGCCAUACCGCGUGGGUGAAGAAGGCCUUCGGGUUGUAAAGCCCUUUUGUUGGGAAAGAAAAGCAGCAGGUUAAUACCCCGCGGUUCUGACGGUACCCAAAGAAUAAGCACCGGCUAACUUCGUG